CCUGAAGUGCAUUAUUCAGCUGCUGAAGUGAUACUACAAAAUGAGUAUCAUUUCAUAUUAAAAUGCAUGCAAAGCUAAAGGGAAGGAAGAAUUAUGUGCUACAUAAUAGGAAAAGAAGACUAAAAUACAACAGCGAAACAAUUGAGAAGGCCUCAGAAAAUGGGAAAGGGAAAACAGCAUCAAUGAUGAGUGGACUGAACCUGCCAAAGGUGACAGAAACUAAAAGCUCAGUGUUUCUGUUUGUGACCCGCUGUGAAGUUGGGUUCUCUAAGGAAGAGACAAAAAUGAGCACACUUGCAUUGGAAUGACAGCACUUUGGUUUUGAUCCAUCAGAGGAAACUGGCAUCACGUCACAGAGCUGUGUCAUCCCCAGGUGUAGUCAGAAGACUUCAGCCUGUCAAGCCCAUUUUUUGGCUUUGAGACAGGAACAGCACUCAGGAAAAUCUGUCCGCUGCAGGAAACAUUCCUACCUGUCAGUCGUAGCCUGUCCUCACAGUCGUGCAGUGGAUUCCCAGGGUUGUGUUCAGAGAAUGAAAGAAGCUGCCCUGACACAUCACAGAAAGCACGUUUCUUUCUAAAUCAAAGAGUUCUUCCAAUAGCAGUGGCCUUCUGGAAGCACGAUGCUGGAAUGCUGGAUUUCUGCUGUGUGAGUGUGAUUGGGGAGCAUCCACCAACAGCAUCCCAUGUUCUUGAGUUGGAGGGCUUCACCUCUAGUGCUGGAAGGAAGCUGUCUCUCUUUCCAAAUUCGUUGUCAGAUGACUUCUGGAGUGCCUGGGGUUAAAGGAGAAGAGGAAGAGCACCAAGACACCUGAGCGAGACUGUGAUGAGGAUGAAGGGUCAAUUAGUGGCUGUUGAGCAAAUCAUAGAGCUGCUGCAUCCUUGUAAUCCUAUAGACUUGGACCCUCUCUGCCAAUCCUGGCAGUGCUCUCCGGAAUAGAUGUAAGUAGAGCAGCACAGCACAGUGCAGCUCUGCUGAUCCGUGUCCUGCAGCUCCUGGCAGUGCACCUGGCUGCCCAGGAACAGAUGUGAUUUCCACUGCACUUCAUGAAACAGAGUUGGAGCCUUUCUGGGUGCUGUGGCUCCAGUCCAAGCAGAGAAAGCCCAGCCUGCUGCUGGCACUGAGCUCCUGGGAGUCGGACUGGAACACGAGGAGAGGAUUUCCCAGUAUUUCCAGACGUGACCUUCAGAGCCAUACAGAUGCUAGUAUUAAACUCAUUACAGGCGAAGCCCUCCCGGUGACCUCGCACGGAUAACUCUCCCCCUGCUCUUUAUCUGGCUUUAUUUCCGAGACAGAUAAACGAUGCUAACAACCCCUCUCCAGCCAAAAGGGAAAAAGAGCACGGCCCCCUCCCCUGACUCCAACAGAACCCAGCAAGGAAACCUCGAGCUGCAUCUCCACAACCGGGAGGAGCCCCGCGUUG